rnacentral:rRNA from 1 species
GUGGCGAACGGGUGAGUAACACGUGAGUAACCUGCCCUUGACUCUGGGAUAAGCGCUGGAAACGGCGUCUAAUACCGGAUAUGACAACUGACGGCAUCGUCUGGUUGUGGAAAGAAUUUCGGUCAAGGAUGGACUCGCGGCCUAUCAGCUUGUUGGUGAGGUAAUGGCUCACCAAGGCGACGACGGGUAGCCGGCCUGAGAGGGUGACCGGCCACACUGGGACUGAGACACGGCCCAGACUCCUACGGGAGGCAGCAGUGGGGAAUAUUGCACAAUGGGCGCAAGCCUGAUGCAGCAACGCCGCGUGAGGGACGACGGCCUUCGGGUUGUAAACCUCUUUUAGUAGGGAAGAAGCGAAAGUGACGGUACCUGCAGAAAAAGCACCGGCUAACUACGUGCCAGCAGCCGCGGUAAUACGUAGGGUGCAAGCGUUGUCCGGAAUUAUUGGGCGUAAAGAGCUCGUAGGCGGUUUGUCGCGUCUGCUGUGAAAACUGGAGGCUCAACCUCCAGCCUGCAGUGGGUACGGGCAGACUAGAGUGCGGUAGGGGAGAUUGGAAUUCCUGGUGUAGCGGUGGAAUGCGCAGAUAUCAGGAGGAACACCGAUGGCGAAGGCAGAUCUCUGGGCCGUAACUGACGCUGAGGAGCGAAAGCAUGGGGAGCGAACAGGAUUAGAUACCCUGGUA